rnacentral:pre_miRNA from 1 species
GGAGGGUGCACCUCACUUAGAUUUGACAUUAUGCUCAAAAUCCAAGUGAAGUGUAUCGUCUCA